rnacentral:rRNA from 1 species
GACGAACGCUGGCGGCGUGCUUAACACAUGCAAGUCGAACGGAAAGGCCCUGCUUUUGUGGGGUGCUCGAGUGGCGAACGGGUGAGUAACACGUGAGUAACCUGCCCUUGACUUUGGGAUAACUUCAGGAAACUGGGGCUAAUACCGGAUAGGAGCUCCUGCUGCGUGGUGGGGGUUGGAAAGUUUCGGCGGUUGGGGAUGGACUCGCGGCUUAUCAGCUUGUUGGUGGGGUAGUGGCUUACCAAGGCUUUGACGGGUAGCCGGCCUGAGAGGGUGACCGGCCACAUUGGGACUGAGAUACGGCCCAGACUCCUACGGGAGGCAGCAGUGGGGAAUAUUGCACAAUGGGCGGAAGCCUGAUGCAGCAACGCCGCGUGCGGGAUGACGGCCUUCGGGUUGUAAACCGCUUUCGCCUGUGACGAAGCGUGAGUGACGGUAAUGGGUAAAGAAGUACCGGCUAACUACGUG